CGUGUCGUGAGAUGUUAGGUUAAGUCCCGCAACGAGCGCAACCCUUGAUCUUAGUUGCCAGCAUUCAGUUGGGCACUCUAAGGUGACUGCCGGUGGCAAACCGGAGGAAGGUGGGGAUGACGUCAAAUCAUCAUGCCCCUUAUGACCUGGGCUACACACGUGCUACAAUGGACAAUACAAAGGGUUGCAAGACCGCGAGGUGGAGCUAAUCCCAUAAAAUUGUUCUCAGUUCGGAUUGCAGGCUGCAACUCGCCUGCAUGAAGCCGGAAUCGCUAGCAAUCGCGGAUCAGCAUGCCGCGGUGAAUACGUUCCCGGGUCUU
rnacentral:rRNA from 1 species